rnacentral:rRNA from 1 species
CGCACGGGUGAGUAACGCGUAUGCAACUUGCCUAUCAGAGGGGGAUAACCCGGCGAAAGUCGGACUAAUACCGCAUGAAGCAGGGAUCCCGCAUGGGAAUAUUUGCUAAAGAUUCAUCGCUGAUAGAUAGGCAUGCGUUCCAUUAGGCAGUUGGCGGGGUAACGGCCCACCAAACCGACGAUGGAUAGGGGUUCUGAGAGGAAGGUCCCCCACAUUGGUACUGAGACGCGGACCAA